GUUUUGAUCUUUUGUAUUCCUGAGGUAUUGAUGGUUACGCUUAGAGUUUCCGUUUUUUCUUUUUUUUUUUGUUUCCACAGAUGCUGACCUGAGAAGUGCAAGCCUUGGAUUUCCACAAGCACAAAGAUAUGGACCAGAUGACAGGGAUUACUGCAGGACCAUCUGGAGGGUGGUGCGGUUGUAUUGCCUUUGUGCUGUUUUCAACUGAAUAUAUGUCAAAAAGGAUUAACAAAUGAUCACAUUCUGUUUUGUUUUGCACAGUGUCCCAAUCAUUUUGGAACUGUGAUUGUAAAAAUAAGUAGUUGAGUAGUUAGAAAAUUCUCAUAUUCUGUCCUAUUUCUGUUAUAUACAGCAACCCCUGACCCCACCCUCUACACCUGUCCAGACGACGAGGGCCGCCCGGGCCCGACCAGCACAGGGGAUGCUGUUGUUUCCAUUCACUUCUUCUGUGCUGGUGGGUUUGGGAUGCUCCUCACAGAUCUGCACAUCGGAAGUUGCCACCAACUCACUGCAUCUCGACUCAGAAGUCAAGUCAGUUAAGAAAUUGAGUCAGUUCAUUCUAGGAAAAAAAAGAUAAAUAAUAAAUACUGUGAAUUUUUUAAUUCAGUGUGUUUCUGAUUUUAAUUUUACUGAAAUGUUUUCCAAUGUUGAAUUUUAUUUCCUUGUUACGAAACUGUAAGGGAAUCAUGCAGCUCUUUUAAGCCCUAAGAGAAGUGACUAUUGUUCUGAAGCACUGACAAUAAUCAUUAAUACAAAAUCAGAGAGCAGGACUAGAAGCACAAAUGUUUUAAGAUACUAAGCUUGUGAUGUCCUUGAACAAAGCAGAGAACUUCAAAAAUGUUCCAGAUGAGCUACACAUUAGCCGACCACUCACAUGGUUGUGAAUGUGUAAAAUUGUAUGAAGCAGAGUUUCAAUAAACACUGUCAAACCUCGUCAGCCAAA